rnacentral:rRNA from 1 species
UCGAGAAUCUUCCGCAAUGGACGCAAGUCUGACGGAGCGACGCCGCGUGCGGGAUGAAGGGCUUUGGCUUGUAAACCGCUGUCAGGUAUUAGGAAAGUGCGUAGGUUAAUACCCUGCGUAUUGACAAAGGUACCAAAGGAAGCCACGGCUAACUCUGUGCCAGCAGCCGCGGUAAUACAGAGGUGGCAAGCGUUGUUCGGUAUCACUGGGCUUAAAGGGCGUGUAGGCGGCACGGUACGGUUCGGGUGAAAUCCCUCGGCUUAACCGAGGAACUGCCCGGGCUACGGCCGAGCUAGACAGCAUCAGGGGAAGGUGGAACUCGCGGUGGAGCGGUGAAAUGCGUAGAUAUCGCGAGGAACGCCGGUGGCGAAAGCGACCUUCUAGGGUGCUUGUGACGCUGAGGCGCGAAAGCUAGGGGAGCGAACGGGAUUAGAUACCCCCGUAGUCC